rnacentral:rRNA from 1 species
GUCCUUUUGGAUUUUUAUUUAAGGUCUAGCCUGCCCACUGAAUUUAUAUUUUAAAUGGCCGCAGUAUUUUGACUGUGCAAAGGUAGCAUAAUCAUUAGUUUUUUAAUUAAAAGCUUGUAUGAAAGGCUGGACGAGGUAAAAUCUGUCUCUAUUUAAAUUAUAGUAGAAUUUAACUUUUAAGUUAAAAGGCUUAAAUAUUAUUAAAAGACGAGAAGACCCUAUAGAUCUUUAUAGUUUAUUAAAUUAAAUUAAUUUAGAAAUAUUAAUGUUUUAUUUAAUUAAAUUAUUUUAUUGGGGUAAUAAAAAGACUGAGUUAAUUCUUUUUUACAAUAAACAUUAAUUUAUGAAUAUUAAUGAUCCAGUUUUACUGAUUAUAAGAUUAAGUUACCUUAGGGAUAACAGCGUAAUUUUUUUAGAGAGUUCAUAUCGAUAAAAAAGUUUGCGACCUCGAUGUUGGAUUAAAGAUUAUUUUAGGUGUAGAAGCUUAAUAAUUUUGGUCUGUUCGACCAUUAAAUCUUUAC